GCCUAGCCACGCCAAAGAAUUUGUGUGGCAGCUGACCGUGGUGAGGGAUAGAGACACAGACCGAGAGAGAAAAAGGCUGUAGGCUUUAUUGAGCAGAUUGAAAGGACAAAGCUUCCACAGUGUGGAAGGGGUCCCGAGCGGGUAGCCAGAGUUAGAUUAUGUGACUGCCUUUUAAACUCUUUAAGGCCGGAAAUACGUGUGGCGAGAUGUUACCAGAGCGAGAAACAAAGGCAAUUAACCGUUUGUAACAUGUCUUAGAUCUUGAGGAAAACUGGAAUUGCAACUUAGGUUUUAUCUACUUUAUGAACUUGCAGCAGCAUGGCAAAGGAGACGGGAUCUUACAGGACUUUGUUACAAAGACCGAAGUAAGUCCUGAUGCAGGAAAUGAGUGACUUUCACAGCUUUCUGAGCCCCUACUCAACCCAGGAAGUCCAGCUGGCACCUCCUCUGGAUCACAAGGUUUGAGAAGUGCCAAAAAACAGCUGUUUGGAGUAAAGGAGAUGAACGAACAACAUGUUUGCAGGCAAAGGUACUCACCGCUACCCUGCGUUCCUGCAUAGACUUCCAUCAGAGAGAACAUGUUAGGAAAGUUAAAUUGCAGUAAGCACAUCACAGCAAUGACGAGGACAGGUACUUUUCUGGGAAACACUGGAAGACAGCUGGAGAGGAUUCUGCUGCUGUGAAAGCACCUAAAGCCUCCUUGACUCAGCCUCACAUCCUAUCUUCAAGAAAACAUCAUAUGGUUAUUAUAUAAACCUCUUACGGGAUUUCUAAGGUUAAUUUCAAUAUAUAAAUGGCUACUCAACAGAAUCAAGGUAAUUAGAGUUUGCUUAUAUUCAAAAAGAGUUGCAAAAUGUCUCCUAGAAAACAGAAUUAACUAUAAGAACCUGAAAUUUGCAUUUCAUAACUUUAAGGAGUUUAAAUUAUCAAGAUUAAUAUUGCACUAAAAAGUUUGUGCAUUCAUGCGUGAUCGAAUAUGAAAACACAUGACCUGUGAACUGAGCAAAAGGUAUGCUUUCUGAAGCAUAUACUCUGUGUGAUUAGGUCACUGAUGCCAUUGAAAUAUGUAGAUUUAAUGUUAAAGCUACUGGUUCUCUGAGUGUUUUCAUGAUCUCACCAGAUUUUUUUUUUUGUACCAUUCACUCUUUUCUAUUUAAAAGACUUUCAGUCGUAGUCUAAAAAAAAUUCCAAACACUUUAGUUCUGGAAUUUCACUUAUUCUCUACAAGUUAUUAUUACUACAAUUUAGUACAAACUCUCAUUUUCAUAGCUUACUAUUCCAACUUCUCCUAGUAUGUAACCCUUAUGCUCUAUAACUGAAAACAUUCUGGUAAAAGGAAUCAGCAUGCUAAUACUAUUUUAAACACACAUCCUCAUUCUCUUUCCUAUUAUUCAUAAAACUAGAAAAAUAAAAAAACACUUUUCUUCCAGCAGUGGAUAGAAGAAAAAGAAAUUCAAAUUUACAAUUUAAUUGUCAUGGGUCACUCACUUGCAGUGACUUGCUCUAGUUGCUUCUGUUGUUUUAAUGCUAAGGUAAGAUGAUGAAGAUCUGUUUUGAGUAAAGUAAGCUCCAAAUAUGAGCUUUGCACUACUACCAUUCUUAAUUUGUGGAUCAUAUCAAUGUUAGGAGUUGAAGGUUUAAUUUGCAUUUAUUUAAAUAAAUUAUCCCUAGACUAUAACUUAUUUUCCAAAUGUCUCAUUCUUUCUCUCAUGUUUAUCUUUUUUCUUGACAUUCAUUUCUUAUACAUGCAUUCAUCAAUAUUAGCCAUUCUAUGUGGAUAUACUAAUUCAUAUUUACUUCAAUCCAUUAAUAUUUGCAUUCUAAUAAAAUUCAUUGCUUCUCUACAAUAGAUAGUUCAAGCAGAACUUAUAGUUUUGGUCAUUAAUUUCUAGCUACAGAUUGCAGAAGAGAAGCAGCACAUAAUAAAGUAUAUCCUAGUCAUGUUUGCAUAUAAAUACAUACUACAUUGCACAGAAUAAUUGUUACCCUCCUACAAAAGCCCAAAAUAAAUUAAAGAUAUAAAAUCACUGAUAUAAUUCAGUUUUGUAUCUCAAUCACAAUCCAGUUUCUUUCUUUUUCUGAUCUUAUAGCCUGGGGGUUCUCAAAAGAAAACGUUUUAGAAUAAAAUUUUAUUUUCUAUAAACCUAAGGAUAUAGUGCACAUUCAUUGAUAGAACAGGCAUCAACUUCUGUUUCUCUGAUCUCAUUUCACUAGGGCUUACAUUUUCAGCCAUAUCACUAGGCAGAACUGUGAAAGCAAUUCUGUAUUAAUGUUCAAAGAUGCAUUUUUUUUAUUAGAAAAGAAACACAUGUUUUAUACUUAGCCCUAUAUCCUGUAUCUUCCCCUCCCUUCCUCUUUUGGUUUUUCUUGUCCUACAAUAAAAAGCACUAGAAUAUCCACUGGAUGUAUUGUUUAUAAAUUAAGUAACAUAUUGUUCAUAUAAUAAAACGAUUCUCUUCCCCACAUGAUUUCAUCACCACUGUCUCUUCCUAAGUGUGACAAUGUCUUCUGCUUACUUCAACAUUAAAUAUUUUAUAUUUACUUCUAGAUUAAUAAACUGUAGACCCUACCAAUUGUCUCUAUAGAAGAUUACUAGUUUGCUCAUUUAUGUAAUACUCAUAUUCCCCUUUCAUGUACCUUCCUUAAAUUUUAAUAGUUGCAUUUAUCCUUCCAAGUAGCAUUCAAACUUUAAAUAUAAAUACAUCUUCAUCACUUGUUCCCUCAUUUACACAAUACUUCCUAAUUAUUUACUACAUAAGAGAGUGGUCUUAUAACUAUAUUUUUCUCUAUAUCUCUUGUAUCAACUUUCAAACUGGAAUUUUUGACAGAUACCACUUCUAUAUAUAG
rnacentral:lncRNA from 1 species